rnacentral:rRNA from 1 species
AACGAACGCUGGCGGCGCGCUUAAUACAUGCAAGUCGAACGAGAAGGUGUAGCAAUACACUUGUAAAGUGGCGAACGGGUGAGGAAUACAUGGGUAACCUACCCUCGAGUGGGGAACGAACCAGCCGAAAGGUUGGCUAAUACCGCGUACGCUUCCGGGUUCUUCGGAUUCGGAAGGAAAGUCAUACCGUGGGUAUGACGCUCAAGGAUGGGCUCAUGUCCUAUCAGCUUGUUGGUAGGGUAACGGCCACCAAGGCUCCGACGGGUAGCUGGUCUGAGAGGACGAUCAGCCACACUGGCACUGCGACACGGGCCAGACUCCUACGGGAGGCAGCAGUGGGGAAUAUUGGACAAUGGGCGCAAGCCUGAUCCAGCGAUGCCGCGU